AGAGUUUGAUCCUGGCUCAGUAGGGCAGGGGGGCUGGCUUGACACAUGCGAGUCGAACGAUGAAGCCCUUCGGGGUGGAUUAGUGGCGAACGGGUGAGUAACACGUGGGCAAUCUGCCCUUCACUCUGGGACAAGCCCUGGAAACGGGGUCUAAUACCGGAUACCACUCCUGCCUGCAUGGGCGGGGGUUGAAAGCUCCGGCGGUGAAGGAUGAGCCCGCGGCCUAUCAGCUUGUUGGUGGGGUAAUGGCCCACCAAGGCGACGACGGGUAGCCGGCCUGAGAGGGCGACCGGCCACACUGGGACUGAGACACGGCCCAGACUAAUACGGGAGGCAGCAGUGGGGAAUAUUGCACAAUGGGCGAAAGCAUGAUGCAGCGACGCCGCGUGAGGGAUGACGGGCUCCGGGUUGUAAACCUCUUUCAGCAGGGAAGAAGCGAAAGUGACGGUACCUGCAGAAGAAGCGCCGGCUAACUACGUGCCAGCAGCCGCGGUAAU
rnacentral:rRNA from 1 species